UCUGACUGACGCCGUUGAUUUUUUUAAAUAUGUUUAGCCGUUCGUCUUAUUUAAAAAAUUUAAGUAAUCAUUAAUUCUUUUCCUAUCAUUUGAUUCAUUGUUAAAUAUACUUUUAUGUAUACAUAUAGUUUUACAUAUUUCACAAAAGUUUUUAAUAAGACGAAUGGUUAAACAUGUGCUAAAAAGUCAACGGCGUCAAAUAUU
rnacentral:pre_miRNA from 1 species